rnacentral:rRNA from 1 species
UCCCGGCCUCCCGUCGCCUCCGGGCUUCGGGGACCAAGGUCGGCGCGCUCCGCUUUGGUGACUCUGGAUAACUCACUGGUCGAUCGCACGGGCUCCACGCCCGGCGACGGGUCCCCCGAAGGGUCGAA